AACGCGAAGAACCCUACAUGGGCUUGACACGUCGGAGAAAUCCUGCAGAAACGUGAGCCCCUCUUAGGAGUUCCAGCACAGAUGGUGCAUGGCUGUUGUCAGCUUGGGUCGUGAGAAGGUGGGUUAAGUCCCGCAACGAGGGCAACCCUCAUCUCCAGUUACCAGCGGGUAAUGCCGGGGACUCUGGAGGGACUGCCGGUGCCAAACCGGAGGAAGGGGGGGAGGACGUCAAGUCAUCAUGGCUCUUACGUCCAGGGCCACACACGUGCUACAAUGGCCGAGACAGAGGGUCGCGAACCCGGGAGGGGGAGCCAAUCCCCAAACUCGGCCUCAGUUCGGAUUGUAGUCUGCAACUCGACUACAUGAAGCUGGAAUCGCUAGUAAUCGUGGAUCAAGCUAUCGCCAGCGGUGAAUACGUUCCCGGGUCUGUACACACCA
rnacentral:rRNA from 1 species